rnacentral:RNase_P_RNA from 1 species
CGAGCUGGCCGGGCGGUCGCGUCGCUCCCCGGCCUCCGGGGAGCGCCGAGGAAGGUCCGGGCUCCGCAGGGCAGGGUGGUCGGUAACGCCGACCCGGGGCGACCCGCGGGAAAGUGCCACAGAAAGCAAACCGCCGCCGGAGAAAUCCGGCGGUAAGGGUGAAACGGUGGUGUAAGAGACCACCAGCACCGCAGGUGACUGCGGUGGCUCGGUAAACCCCACCCGGAGCAAGGUCAAGAGGGAGCCGCGUUCCUCGGGACGCGACUCCUGCGCGAGCGAUCGAGGGCGGCCCGCCCGAUGCUCGCGGGUAGACCGCAGGAGGCUGCCGGCAACGGCAGUCCUAGAUGGAUGGCCGCCGGCCCGCGCGAGCGGGUGCACAGAACCCGGCCUACAGGCCAGCUCGCCCG